CCGAUCACCAGGAUUCUAUAAUAGAUUACAUACGAGGUCGAGAAUUCUUAUUCAUCAAUAAAACCCAUUAUCACUGCACUAAUACCAUCGGUGACCUCGAUGUGGUUUUCAAGGAUAGGAACAUGGCUGUUAUUGAACAAAGAGGAAUG